GCAUCUUGCGAUCUCCUCCACUUGGUAUUGUGAUAGUUGUCUUUUGGAGGCAUUUGGUUGGGAUUCCUUUGGAGGAUUGGGAUUCCUGGGAGGAUUGGGAUUACUGGGAGAGGAUUGCGGAUUCCUGGAGAGGAUUGGGAUUCCCAUAUGGGCAUAUAGGAAGUAUGGGUAUAUAUAUGCCUAGGAAAAACAACCAUGCCAC